rnacentral:rRNA from 1 species
AAGCGGAGGAAAAGAAACUAACAAGGAUUCCCCUAGUAACGGCGAGUGAACCGGGAAGAGCUCAAAUUUGUAAUCUGGCGUGCUCUGCGCGUCCGAGUUGUAAUCUAUAGAAACGUCUUCCGUGCCGGACCGCGUCCAAGUCCCCUGGAAUGGGGUAUCAAAGAGGGUGAGAAUCCCGUGCUUGAUGCGACGACCGGUGCUCUGUGAUGCGUUCUCUACGAGUCGAGUUGUUUGGGAAUGCAGCUCAAAACGGGUGGUGAAUUCCAUCUAAGGCUAAAUAUUGGCGAGAGACCGAUAGCGAACAAGUACCGUGAGGGAAAGAUGAAAAGCACUUUGGAAAGAGAGUUAAACAGUAUGUGAAAUUGUUGAAAGGGAAACGAUUGAAGUCAGUCGUGAGCCCGGGAUUCCGCCGGUUCUGCCGGUCCAUUUCCCGGGUUUGGGUCAACAUCAGUUCCCGUCGGCGGAUAAAGGCUUUGGGAAUGUGGCUCCCCCGGGAGUGUUAUAGCCCUUUGUCGCAUACGUCGGUGGGGACUGAGGAAUGCAGCUCGCCUUUAUGGCCGGGGCUUCGGCCCACGUUCGAGCUUAGGAUGUUGGCAUAAUGGCUUUAAACGACCCGUC